rnacentral:rRNA from 1 species
UACGUAGGGUGCAAGCGUUUAAUCGGAAUUACUGGGCGUAAAGCGUGCGCAGGCGGUUAUGUAAGACAGAUGUGAAAUCCCCGGGCUCAACCUGGGAACUGCAUUUGUGACUGCACGGCUAGAGUGUGUCAGAGGGGGGUAGAAUUCCACGUGUAGCAGUGAAAUGCGUAGAGAUGUGGAGGAAUACCGAUGGCGAAGGCAGCCCCCUGGGAUAACACUGACGCUCAUGCACGAAAGCGUGGGGAGCAAACAGG